rnacentral:rRNA from 1 species
CGCGAAUGGCUCAUUACAACAGCAAUAAUUGACUUGACGAUAUAUUCCUUAAACGGAUAACUGUGGUAAUUCUAGAGCUAAUACAUGAAUUUAAGCAGAGUGUCUUUGGCGCUCUGUUCAUUUAUUAGACCAAAACCAAGCGGCCUCGGUCGUUUAUUUCGGUGACUCGUAGUAAUUUCGUUGAUCACAUGAUCUUGUAUCGGUGACACGUCUAUCAAGUUUCUGCCCUAUCAACUUUUGAUGGUUCUUUAUUGGAGAACCAUGGUUAUAACGGGUAACGGAGAAUUAGGGUUCGACUCCGGAGAGGGAGCCUGAGAAACGGCUACCACAUCCAAGGAAGGCAGCAGGCGCGAAAAUUACCCACUCUCAGUGCGAGGAGGUAGUGACGAAAAAUAACAAGGCUGAUCGCUUUGCGAGCAGCUAUUGGAAUGGGUACAAUUUAAACCCUUUAACGAGGACCUAUGAGAGGGCAAGUCUGGUGCCAGCAGCCGCGGUAAUUCCAGCU